rnacentral:rRNA from 1 species
CUCAGGGAGGUAGUGACAAGAAAUAACAACACUGGAAAUUUUAUUUCUAGUGAUUGGAAUGAUGGGAAUUUAAACCCCUUUCAGAGUAACAAUUGGAGGGCAAGUCUGGUGCCAGCAGCCGCGGUAAUUCCAGCUCCAAUAGCGUAUAUUAAAGUUGUUGCAGUUAAAAAGCUCGUAGUUGGAUGUCUGCUGGAAGCAAUCAGUCCGCCCUAUUUGUAGGGUGUGCACUUGAUGAAUUCUGGCAUCUAUGUCCUAAUGUGAUAGAUACGGCGGUGUAUAUGGGUUAAUCCUAUAUACCCGUUUUUGUAUAUUAUAUUGGGAUAAUACCGUUACUUUGAGAAAAUUAGAGUGUUUGAAGCAGGCUAAUUGCCUUGAAUACUGCAGCAUGGAAUAACAAUAUAGGAUUUCGGUUCUAUUUUGUUGGUUUCUAGGACUGAAAUAAUGAUUAAUAGGGACAGUUGGGGGCAUUCGUAUUUAACUGUCAGAGGUGAAAUUCUUGGAUUUGUUAAAGACGAACUACUGCGAAAGCAUUUGCCAAAGAUGUUUUCAUUAAUCAAGAACGAAAGUUAGGGGCUCGAAGACGAUCAGAUACCGUCGUAGUCUUAACCAUAAACUAUGCCGACUAGAGAUAGGAAAAUGUCAUUUUUCUGACUU